rnacentral:rRNA from 1 species
CAAGGAAUUUUCCCCAAUGGGCGCAAGCCUGAGGGAGCAACGCCGCGUGCAGGACGACGGCCUUCGGGUUGUAAACUGCUUUUGCGUGGGACGAUAACGACGGUACCACGCGAAUCAGCCCCGGCUAACUCUGUGCCAGCAGCCGCGGUAAUACAGAGGGGGUUAGCGUUGUUCGGAAUUACUGGGCGUAAAGCGCGCGUAGGCGGAUUGGAAAGUUGGGGGUGAAAUCCCGGGGCUCAACCCCGGAACUGCCUCCAAAACUAUCAAUCUAGAGUUCGAGAGAGGUGAGUGGAAUUCCGAGUGUAGAGGUGAAAUUCGUAGAUAUUCGGAGGAACACCAGUGGCGAAGGCGGCUCACUGGCUCGAUACUGACGCUGAGGUGCGAAAGUGUGGGGAGCAAACAGGAUUAGAUACCCCCGUAGUCC